UACGAAGGGUGCAAGCGUUAAUCGGAAUUACUGGGCGUAAAGCGUGCGCAGGCGGUGAUGUAAGACAGUUGUGAAAUCCCCGGGCUCAACCUGGGAACUGCAUCUGUGACUGCAUUGCUGGAGUGCGGCAGAGGGGGAUGGAAUUCCGCGUGUAGCAGUGAAAUGCGUAGAUAUGCGGAGGAACACCGAUGGCGAAGGCAAUCCCCUGGGCCUGCACUGACGCUCAUGCACGAAAGCGUGGGGAGCAAACAGG
rnacentral:rRNA from 1 species